ensembl:misc_RNA
UUGCACUCGAGUUAGACGCGGCUGGAGGCCAAGGUCAAGUUGAAAGUUGCAGUCUGGCCAAAUAG